ACAUGGCAGAUGAGGACCCCACCCUCAUGGAACUGGCCUUCCAGGGUGAUGGGAGAGAGACGAUAAGCAGGCCAACAAUAACUUAUAAUGCCUGGGGUUUCCAAUAACAAAGGCCGUGGCAUCCAGAGGACAUGUUCUUACUGCUGUGUUGGGGUCCUUCCAGCGGAGCCUGAUGUACCCCCACCUGGCCUGGAGAUGCUGAGCUCACGUGAGGGUUAUUCGCGGACCUGGGCUGAAACUCCUGUUGUGUGGUUUGCUCUGGUCUAAGGCUCGCUUCAUCUGCUGCUUGUAUUAGCAAGCAAUAUUGGACUACCGUGACCCCUGCACUUUUAUCUUUCUUGGCAGAGAAGAUCGCCAGCCGUCUGAAAGACUGCCAGCUACCUAAUUACACCGAAGACAGCGAGAAAAAGAAAACCAUUUUGGACUAUCAGUAUUCACCUUGGCUCUGCAGCUUCCCUUUAAACAACCAGUGUACACAAACUCAACAAGUACUUGAUGACAAUCCACAGUGGGGCCAGCUCUAUGAGUUGAGGACAGUGAGUAGGUGCAAGAAAGCUACAAGUUGUGGAUUGACUUUGAUGCAGAAACACUUUUUGGAAGGAGUGGGGUGAGAAAGUUCCUCAGAUAAUUUUGAUCUGGACCCCUGAUGGAAGACCCACUGAUCCUGGGGCUGGGCACAAAGCAGCCCAGCUACUUUUGAAGUGGGCUGCCUGAAAUUUUGUCCCACACGGGUGUCGUAUAUCAUGUGGUAGCAUGCUGACUCAAUCACAGGCACCCACUUUGGGAAACAUUAACUAUAAUUGUACAUGGAGAAUAAAUACAAGGGCCUUUUAACAGAAGUUUUCAUGGUGGACUGCUGAUCCAACUCCUUAGGUGCUGCUGGUCCACUCAAUGAAAUCUUGUUUCCUGUGAUUACAUGGGAUUUAUUUUGUGAACAGCUUUCCUGCUGAGCCUCAGACUGGACAAAUUUGAGAAGCUCUAUUUUCGUAUCAUGGGUUCCUUGGGCCAAACCAAAGUCUACCAAUGCGUACCUAAGACAGACAAAAUAGGCUCCAGGCCUGGAGUGGACCCCAACUCGAGGCCUAAACUCAGGACCCUGAGAUCAAGACCUGAGGUGAAAUCAAGAGUCAGAUGCUUAACUGAGCCACCUGGGUGCCCCUCAGAAGACAUCUUUGAAGUGGUGCCACUCUUGCUCAAAUCAGAAAGAAGAGAGGACACUGGAAAACCACUGAAGGAUUUUAAGGGAUGGAACUAACAGUAUACAAUUUACAUUAUAUAUAUACACACACACACACACAAAUUUUUAUACUUUAAAAAUCACUCUGGCUGUUUUGUUAACGAUGGGUUUCAGGGGGAAAGAGAAGCAGCAGCCUAGUUUAGCAAUCUAGGCUCGGUCUGAGGUAGUGGUUGAGAAGACAGAAAAACAUGGAUGGAUUUUUAGAUAUAUUUUGGAGGUAAAAUGGCCAAGACCUGAUGAUUGAUGCCAAAAUGAGCAGAUAAAAUAGGCUGUUGCAAUAGGGGUUUUUGGGCAGGCAAAGGAGUAUUAAAAUUUAGUUUACAGAAUAUGUUUGAGAUAUUUAUUAGGUGCUCAAGUGGGUAUGUCAAAUCAGCAGGUGGGUAUAUACAAAUCUGCAGGUAAGAGGUCUGAGGCAAGACACAUACUUAUGGGAAUCCUUACCAUACAUUGAAAGCCACAUGGAAAUACAUACUACCUACAGAAGAGUCCGGAGCAAGAAAGCCCAAGAUCAGGCACUCCAACAUUUAGACGUCAGGUAGAAGAAGAAGAACUGGCCAAAGGAUACUGAAAAUGAAAAGCCAAAUAAAGCAGGAAGAAAACAAGGAGUGUGUGGCAGUACAGAAGUCAAAAGACAAUGGUUCUAGGGCGCCUGGGUGGCUCAGUCGUUAAGCGUCUGCCUUCAGCUCAGGUCAUGGUCCCAGGGGU